rnacentral:rRNA from 1 species
UACGUAGGGGGCAAGCGUUGUCCGGAUUUAUUGGGCGUAAAGAGCGUGUAGGCGGCCAUACAGGUCAGCUGUGAAAACUCGAGGCUCAACCUCGAGACGUCGGUUGAAACCGUUUGGCUAGAGUCCGGAAGAGGAGAGUGGAAUUCCCGGUGUAGGCGGUGAAAUGCGCAGAUAUCGGGAAGAACACCCGUGGCGAAGGCGGCUCUCUGGGGACGGUACU